rnacentral:rRNA from 2 species
UAACAAGGAUUCCCCUAGUAACGGCGAGUGAAGAGGGAAGAGCUCAAAUUUGAAAGCUGGUACCUUCGGUAUCCGCGUUGUAACCUCGAGACACGUUUUCCGUGCGGCGCUAUGGACAAGUUCCUUGGAACAGGACAUCGUAGAGGGUGAAAAUCCCGUACUUGCCAUGGAUGUACCGUGCUUUGCGAUACGUGCUCUAAGAGUCGAGUUGUUUGGGAUUGCAGCUCAAAAUGGGUGGUAGACUCCAUCUAAAGCUAAAUAUCGGGGAGAGACCGAUAGCGAACAAGUACCGUGAGGGAAAGAUGAAAAGCACUUUGGAAAGAGAGUUAAAAGUACGUGAAAUUGUCGAAAGGGAAGCGCUUGAAGUCAGCCAUGCCGCUCAGGACUCAGCCUGGCUUUUGCUUGGUGUAUUUCCUGGGUAGCAAGUCAGCAUUGGUUUGGAUCGUCGGAGAAGCAUAGUUGGAAUGUGGCGCCCUCGGGCGUGUUAUAGCCUUCUAUUGGAUACGACGAUCUGGACCAAGGAACGCAGCGCGCCUUAUGGCGGGUCUUCGGACACCUUCGCGCUUAGGAUGCUGGCGUAAU